GACGAACGCUGGCGGCGUGCUUAACACAUGCAAGUCGAACGGAAAGGCCCUGCUUUUGUGGGGUGCUCGAGUGGCUAACGGGUGAGUAACACGUGAGUAACCUGCCCUUGACUUUGGGAUAACUUCAGGAAACUGGGGCUAAUACCGGAUAGGAGCUCCUGCUGCAUGGUGGGGGUUGGAAAGUUUCGGCGGUUGGGGAUGGACUCGCGGCUUAUCAGCUUGUUGGUGGGGUAGUGGCUUACCAAGGCUUUGACGGGUAGCCGGCCUGAGAGGGUGACCGGCCACAUUGGGACUGAGAUACGGCCCAGACUCCUACGGGAGGCAGCAGUGGGGAAUAUUGCACAAUGGGCGGAAGCCUGAUGCAGCAACGCCGCGUGCGGGAUGACGGCCUUCGGGUUGUAAACAGCUUUCGCCUGUGACGCAGCGUGAGUGACGGUAAUGGGUAAAGAAGCACCGGCUAACUACGUG
rnacentral:rRNA from 1 species